CAAUUUUGUUUCCUGGUGGUUUGAGAAGAAAGUUCCUGUGGUGAAAUUGAAAAGGGGAUAAAGGGAAGUACUUAUUUUAAAACAUAAGUAACUUGUGGAUUGUUGAAUACUGGAAAAAGAGUGUUACUUCCCCGUUAACCUACGCCUCGUGUAAUCCUUCAGGUUGGAAGUCGGAUCGCAGACCGUGUAUAUGACAUACCCAGAAAUUUCCCCCUUGCUUUGGAUCUUGGUUGUGGAAGAGGUUACAUUGCACAAUAUUUGAAUAAGCUUUAGUUAUUCCUUUGCAGGAAACUAUUGGAAAGUUUUUCCAAGCCGACAUUGCAGAAAAUGCUUUGAAAAAUUCCUCAGAAACAGAAAUACCUACUGUCAGCGUUUUAGCUGAUGAAGAAUUCCUUCCCUUCAAAGAAAAUACAUUUGACCUGGUGGUUAGCAGUUUAAGUUUGCAUUGGGUGAAUGACCUUCCUAGAGCACUUGAGCAGAUUCAUUAUAUUUUAAAACCAGAUGGAGUGUUUAUCGGUGCAAUGUUUGGAGGCGACACACUCUAUGAACUUCGGUGUUCCUUACAGUUAGCGGAAACGGAAAGGGAAGGAGGAUUUUCUCCACACAUUUCUCCUUUCACUGCUGUCAAUGACCUGGGACAUCUGCUUGGGAGAGCUGGCUUUAAUACUCUGACUGUGGACACUGAUGAAAUUCAAGUUAACUAUCCUGGAAUGUUUGAAUUGAUGGAAGAUUUACAAGAUGGAGUCUCACUCUGUCGCCUAGG
rnacentral:sRNA from 1 species